rnacentral:RNase_P_RNA from 1 species
CGAGUCGGUCAGGCGAUCGCUUUCCAAUCGUGUUUACACGCCUGGGAGGAGGAAAGUCCGGGCUCCAUAGGGCAGAGUGCCAGGUAACGCCUGGGGGGCGAGAGCCUACGGAAAGUGCAACAGAGAGUAUACCGCCUGGUUCGCCAGGUAAGGGUGAAAUGGUGCGGUAAGAGCGCACCGCGCGGCUGGUAACAGGCGUGGCGAUGGUAAACCCCACUCGGAGCAAGACCAAAUAGGAAUCCGUCAGCUGUGGCCCGCAGUGGAUUCGGGUAGGUCGCUACAGGCAAGUGGUGACACUUGUCGCAGAUGAAUGAUCGUCCACGACAGAACCCGGCUUAUCGACCGACUCACUUU